UACGUAGGGUGCAAGCGUUAAUCGGAAUUACUGGGCGUAAAGGGCGCGUAGGCGGCCUUCUAAGUCGAACGUGAAAUCCCCCGGCUUAACCUGGGAACUGCGUCUGAUACUGGAGGGCUUGAGUAUGGGAGAGGGAUGUAGAAUUCCAGGUGUAGCGGUGAAAUGCGUAGAUAUCUGGAGGAAUACCGGUGGCGAAGGCGGCAUCCUGGACCAUUACUGACGCUGAGGCGCGAAAGCUAGGGGAGCAAACGGG
rnacentral:rRNA from 1 species